GACGAACGCUGGCGGCGUGCUUAACACAUGCAAGUCGAACGGAAAGGCCCUGCUUGCAGGGUACUCGAGUGGCGAACGGGUGAGUAACACGUGGGAGAUCUGCCCUGCACUUCGGGAUAAGCCUGGGAAACUGGGUCUAAUAUCGGAUAGGAGACAUCCUUAGUGUGAUGGUUGGAAAGUUUUUUCGGUGUAGGAUGAGCUCGCGGCCUAUCAGCUUGUUGGUGGGGUAAUGGCCUACCAAGGCGGCGACGGGUAGCCGGCCUGAGAGGGUGGACGGCCACAUUGGGACUGGGAUACGGCCCAGACUCCUACGGGGGGCAGCAGUGGGGGAUAUUGCACAAUGGGCGCAAGCCUGAUGCAGCGACGCCGCGUGGGGGAUGACGGCCUUCGGGUUGUAAACUCCUUUCGCUAGGGACGAAGCUUUUUGUGACGGUACCUAGAGAAGAAGCACCGGCUAACUACGUG
rnacentral:rRNA from 1 species